CGCAGCACGGAACGCACGUUCUGCUCGCGGUGACUUCCACUUAACAUAAACUUGCUAAUUGGUGUACAUUGUAAUCAACAAGUGAUAUCGAACAAGUUAAUAAGAUAUUGUAAUCCAAACUUACCGAUAGGAAAGCUUGUUUUCGUUGCAAGGACAGUGAUAUGAAAGUUUAGUUUGCGGGCUUAUAGUGAUAUUUUUGGUAAAUUUUGUUCAACUACGGGAUUUCUGCGUGCGAAAGAAUAAUAAGAUUUCGUACAGCUGAAGGUGAAUUCUUAAACGUUACUGGUUACUCCGCCGUUUUGGUUGACUGAACUUCAACAAGCCACUUGCCGUUUUAAAGAAACCCAAAGAUGACAUAAGAGCCCAUCCAAAAUGGCGUUGCGACUAAAGAAAGACAUAAAGAAAGCGUCAUACUAUGUGUGGUUCCUGGGUGCGCAGGAGUCACGAGGGUUGCGCGGCGAGGAGUUCGCCCUCCCAGCCAUAAGGCUGCUGGAAGAGAGGGCCCGGGACUUGGAGCCGUUCAAAGUCACCUU